rnacentral:rRNA from 1 species
UACGUAGGGGGCAAGCGUUGUCCGGAAUUAUUGGGCGUAAAGCGCGUGUAGGCGGCCAGAAAAGUCCGCUGUGAAAACUCGAGGCUCAACUUCGAGCUGUCGGUGGAAACUUUCUGGCUAGAGUCCGGAAGAGGAGAAUGGAAUUCCUGGUGUAGCGGUGGAAAUGCGCAGAUAUCAGGAAGAACACCCGUGGCGAAGGCGGUUCUCUGGGACGGUACUGACGCUGAGACGCGAAAGCGUGGGGAGCGAACAGG